GACGUAGGGCGCGAGCGUUGUCCGGAUUUAUUGGGCGUAAAGAGCUCGUAGGCGGCUUGUUGCGUCGACUGUGAAAACCCGCGGCUUAACCCCGGGCCUGCAGUGGGUACGGGCAGACUAGAGUGCGGUAGGGGAGUCUGGAAUUCCUGGUGUAGCGGUGAAAUGCGCAGAUAUCAGGAGGAACACCGGUGGCGAAGGCGGGUCUCUGGGCCGUAACUGACGCUGAGGAGCGAAAGCGUGGGGAGCGAACAGG
rnacentral:rRNA from 1 species